rnacentral:tRNA from 2 species
GCCCGGAUGGUGGAAUUGGCAGACACGCCAGACUUAGGAUCUGGUGCCGAAAGGUGUAAGGGUUCAAGUCCCUUUCCGGGCACCA